GACAGAGGGUGCAAACGUUGUUCGGAAUUACUGGGCGUAAAGCGCGUGUAGGCGGCUCGGAAAGUCUGGUGUGAAAUCCUGCGGCUCAACCGCAGACUGUCACUGGAUACUGUCGAGCUUGAGUCCGGAAGAGGAGAGUGGAAUUCCUGGUGUAGCGGUGAAAUGCGCAGAUAUCAGGAAGAACACCAAUGGCGAAAGCAGCUCUCUGGGACGGUACUGACGCUGAGACGCGAAAGCGUGGGGAGCGAACAGG
rnacentral:rRNA from 1 species